GUAUUCCCUUUUGUUUUAUUCUCUCCUCUUCUCUCCUCUCCUCUCCUCUCCUCUUCUCUUCUCUUCUCUUCUCUUCUCUUCUUCUCUUCUCUUGUCUCUUCUAGACACGUUUGCCAGUAAGGUUGCAGCCACCCAGGAUCAGUAUGCUGAUGCAUCUGUGGGCAACGUGACAGGCAGCAAUGCUGUGAAUGUGUUCCUGGGCAUCGGUGUGGCGUGGUCAGUGGCAGCUAUCUACUGGAAUGUGCAGGGCCUUGAGUUCAGGGUGGACCCCGGCUCCCUAGCCUUCUCCGUCACACUCUUCACCAUCUUCGCUUUCUUCGCAAUGGGUGUGCUGCUGUUCCGCCGGCGGCCCUCCAUUGGGGGCGAGCUCGGGGGGGCGCGUACCCCUCGCGUGAUCACCAGCCUCUUCUUCUUCUCUCUCUGGCUCCUCUACAUCUUCUUCUCCAGCCUGGAAGCCUACUGCCACAUCCAGGGCUUCUAAAGCAGGAAGCAGGAAGCAGGAGGAGGUGCCCCAGCAUGCUUCGGAAAACCAAACAGGCAUACAUCCACAUCUCCACAGAUCUACAGCACUCCAUGAACACACACAAACACCCACCCACACACACACACACACACACAUCACUGAGGAGGACAAGGGCUCAGUAUUCUAGGUAAUGACACUGCUGAUUGAAGGACACCAUUUCAGAUGUGCAAAUCUAAACCAACACAUGCAAACAAACGUACAAAGACCUCCAGGAAGCUUUUCAGACAUGAAACUACACUUUCAACAAGCUCCAUUGGUUAUGUCAGGAAAAAUUCAGGCUUUAAAUCUAUCCGUCCCAUUAGCCUAUGACACCCAUGCCUGCACCAACCAACAAGGAAGAUCACAGAGGGAGAGAUGGGAAGUCAGACAGAAAGGAAUGUAGAAAGAUGGAGAGAAGGAAAAAUGAUCUGUUGACAGGAUUUAAGGAGAAGGAAAGUAUGAAGAGCGAGAAAAUCAAGCAGGUAGGGAAAGAACAAGACAGCAUCAGAGAAGAGGAACAAGGAAGAGAGGUGUGUGUUGUGACCAUUUGUGCCUCACCCUCCCCACUGUCAGAAUGGAUCUAGAAACGACUUAGAGCGGGGCCAGCUUCUCAACCUGGCUUGAAUUUGAAGUCUUGCUCAUGAUGUGUAGGUCCUUAUCUAGAGGUCUGUGUGCAGGUCAUGAUGUUCUCCUGUGUUUUUUAGAGUAGAAGCCCCCUCAGGUGAAAGUGUAUAAGAUGAUGCAAUUGGGGCAUCCUCCGUUUCUAUGGGAACAGUGCAUCACCUUGAAACAGCAAGGAAGAAGGAACCAAGGUGUCAUAUUUAAUAACAACUGGGUGGCCUAAGGGAGAAAAAGUGAAAAUAUAUAUAUAUAUAUAUAUAUACACAGAGAAGGACAUUUAGGACAGGAAGAUAAAGUCAUAGUGUGGCUGGAGCUUGGCCCGAGCAGUUUGUCCAUGUAAAUAGAUAUCUCCUAAUCAUUUAUCUUCACUGAAGGAUGAACUAAUCAGCCAGUUCUAUUUAGGGGGUUAAGGGCAGGAAAGUAUUGUAUGUCUCCAGACAUAAGAGAAGUGAAAGGAUGCAUUUGGAACCGGAAUGUCCCUUGGCAUUGCUGGGAGAACUCCAUGGAGGGAGCCCAUCGGGAGCUCUUGUGGAACUGAGGAAUGCUGAGUCCAUUCACACAAUUAUAAGGUUCCUCUGUUCUAACCUUUUUUCAGUCCUAGAUAUAUUAACUUAUUUAUGUAUUUAUUUAUUUUAUUAUAACUACAAAAAUAUGUAUUUAAUAAGUUUAAAUACAGUAAUGAAUAACUUAAGUUUAAAUAUUUUGAAAUACACAAGCAGUCAUGGUGCUGCGCUCAGAUCCAGUAGACGCAGAGAGGGAGAACGCUGCUUGGUUCUCACACUGCUGCCAGUCACCCAGCAUAUACCACACUUCCUGUUAACAGCAGAGAUGGCAAAGCCCCAUGAAGCACGGUUUACCCAUUUCCCACCCCGGACUUCUGCCACCACUUCACCCAGGGAGGAGGUUUGACUUGGGGAUUGUAAAUAAAGCUUUUACAGUUUCUUGACUUGGUUUCCCAUCAGAGUGACUGCACCCCACCCUGGGCCUUCUGCUCCACCAAACCCUUUCAUCAUUUCACUCCACUCUUUCUGUUGUUGUGUUGAUGUUGUCAUUUUUAUCCAUCUCUUCUUUAAACCACUUUAAAGACUGUGUGGUGCAUACAACCACAUCAUAUCAUUAUCUCCAUUUUUCCCUUUCAAAACCACCUUUUUAUUUUUCAGAAUGGACAAUAAAGACUAAUUCAUGUACCUGAUUGUUCAAAGAAACAUUUCUUCUUCAAAUCAUCUCCAGGCAGAGAAGAGAGAGCCAGAUAGGUCCUGCUGUAGAAGUGAAAAGGAGAUGGCGUUGUGCUCUUCACAGGCCGAUGAGUAAUGUUGGAGUUUUACAUGUUGUUUGCCUGUCAAGUGAUACUUGUUCUUGUUUGUGGAAACCUGUGGAAUUGUGAUAUGUGUCUGUGGAACAGCCCCUACCUGGCUUGGGCUGACGCUUCAUUGUGACAUAGUGGGUCAAAAUGCAUGAUAGAAUAUAUACAGUGGCCACGGCAUGGUUUACAUAUAAAAGCAUGUGUGGGCGGUGACACAAGAAAAGACAGUGUUCGUAUUUAUUAAAAGGAGAAAGAUUGAAGAUUGAGAUUAUUGAAGAUGCUGAUUCCCCUCAAAGUCAGGUACUGUACUGACUAACUCUCUUGAAUUCAUUAACCAUACUGAACUGUUCACAUGUUCUAUAUAUACCUACUACUUAUCUCGUUGGAGACCAAAAUCGAUAUAUACACAAAUCUUUGGCUUACCAUUCCAUCCUAGAUCUAGUUUGAAUAGCCUGUUAUGAGCUCUCUGUAGCCUAGUCUGCACAGACUGAAUGCUCAGCUGCAGUCAUUCUGCAAGGUUUCUCGUAUUUUCCCCUGAUGUGCCCUGACAGGAACACAAGCUCCUGGGUGUGUAAGGUUGUGGGCAUCAGCUACUUUAAUGCUGGUAGUGCCUGUACAUGAGGAAUAAGUGUUUUUGUCGUUUCUACAGGCAACACGAGUGGACUCACAUGCUUCAUUGCUAAUUUGACUGAAAUGGAUAGGCGUUGUGCACAUCUACUUAAAACAUUCACAUUGCUUCUAAUACACUCAAAGAGACUGUUAUGUAGUGUAGUUUUUAUUUCCUAACCUACCCAGAUACUGCCUUAAGAAGAUUUAAAUUAUUUAUUUUAAGGUAAAUUACAAGUUGACCGUCUUGCAUCAUAGUGUAUUUUUUGUUUAGUAAGUUUUCGGUUGUUGUUACGUAGGUUUCUUUGUUUUGUGAAUACUAGCAACCAAAAUGAUUGAGAAAUAGUGUGCAAUAUGAUUUCCCUGCUAAAGAACAGCGGACAAAGCAGAGCAUGUACUUUACUCACAGUGACUUUUCUCUCUGUAUCGCGGGCUGUUCGUUCUGAGCAAAUACAGGAUUCUUAAAUUCAAUUCAAUUCAAUUCAAUUUUAUUUAUAUUGCGCCAUAACAAUACAAUUGUCUCUAGGCGCUUUAAAUCCUUUUAGCACUACAGGGGUAGGCAUGCAGUAAAGCGGUCCUUGACUGGCCAAGUGAGUCUAGUGUUUCAGAUAGCAGACACAUGGAACCUUAGUAGUUCCAUUUGCUUGACCAACCCUAGUAGUUGUGUUUGCUUCAAGUCAAACACAUUUGAUCGUAGUGAGGAUUCUAUGGUUAAAUCAGUAUUUCAACACAAAAAUGUCUGGUGGAAAAAUGAUAUUCUCAGAUGUGCUAUAUCAUAUCUGAAAUAAAGUGUCGGUGGUUUAGUGGUAGCCUCAUGGAAGGCAAGUGAAUGGUAUGGAAUGAGUUAAGUGUCCUUUAGAGGUUGGGCAAGACUUUUUCUCUAUGGUCAGGAAACACAGCCGAUAAGAUAUUUGUGGCCAUACCACUUGAAAUCAGUGAGGAACUGAAAAGAUGAACUAUUUCAUCUUUUAGUAGUAAAAAUGUUUUUUGUAUGUGGUCAAGUGUUAUGUUUCAAAUUAGUAUAGCUUACACUGUUUCAGCUACUCCAGCACAUUCUUUAAGGGAGACUACAUUUCUAAUAUACAUGCUUGACCAAACUUUGACACAUAUAAAUGCAUACCUAGAGAGUAGUGAGAAGGCAUGCACCUGCUUCUUGUAUGGUUCAUUGUCUCUUAUUAUUUGUUCACUCUGACACACUUUGUGAAAUGUUUUUUUAAAUGUAAACAUGUAACAGGUUCUGUACCUUCAGGCUGUCACCUACUGUGAGAGCAAGGAUUCUCAUUAGACCAGUGCUCAUGUUUCCAUAGUUACCACUGGACACAAGUAACGCCAUGGCAACUCACAACAACAAUUGUAUAACUAUAGCUGAUGCUCCAGCCUACGUUGUGUUUACACAGUAAAGAGAGACUUAGUUUGUGCAAUAUGUAAUCUAUUUAACAUUGCUUAAAUGUUAUCUUUCAUAAAAUCAAACCAUUUCACAAUUCAUUUUUUCUCACUCUUCUGUCUGUUUGUCUAACAAUGAAAAUCAAUGAAUACAUUAGUUCAAAGAUGUGGUUGUAAUGUCACAUUAAAGCAGGUCUUGGAGAUGAGUUUUGGAAUGUACUGAAAGGAGAGAACAUUCUCUGAGAAGUUGCCAAUCAAUGUCUACUUACUUCUUAGUCACUUUAGUCUGUGUUUUCAGUUUGGUGGAUGAGAGGACAUGACAUGACAUGGCUUCCCCUGAACCAAACUGUCUGACUUGAGCUGGAGAGGCAACAGCCCACGUCUUGUGUAGCAUCAGUGUUUGUGUGCCUACUCUCCACUGUAUGUGUGUGUACUGUGCAUGAUCUCUCUGUUGAUUGGUGCGCAUGACCUGUUCUUGAUGUCUAGGUUUACAGUCCAGUCUGGUCUUUCCCCCAGACUGGUGGUUGCUCUUGGUCAGGCUGUGACCGGUGGAACUCACUGAGAUUCAUCAGCGGUCUGAAAAAAGCUGAUGAACAAGUGUAUUGUCGUUUAAAGAAAUGAUUGUUAUUAAUUUAAUAACUACUACACUUCUACAAAAGCUGUUUAAGUGACUUGAUUUUAGUCAUCUGUGUUGUUUAUUUGUAGGCUGAAAUAUGCGGUUGUCUGUGUCUGUCUUUGUGUUGGGGUGCCUUGCCUCAUGUCUUGCUCACCUGUGCAAUUUCUGUGGUUAUUUCUCUCUGCCUGAAUAUUCUAAGAAUGAUGACUAAAUAAGACAAGAUGUGAUAUCAAAAAAAUAGUAUACAUAUAUAGUUAUGUCAUAAACAGAAGAUUUACAUUUUUACAAAAGAAACCCGAAUUGCUGACAUAAGGAUGCUUAUUGUUUUGGAGAACAUGGCAUGAUGUGUAUUGUAAGAACUACAGUUGACUUAAUGAAUAUAGUUCAUUUAUUUUCAACUGUGUCUGAGUGUGUUUUUUGACAGGUGAAAGUGAGAGGUAGACUACUUUGCCUGUUAAUCAGCAGUAAUCUAAGUGAGUCCGGUGUUAAUCUUGUCAUCUCAAUAGCUCUAAGACAAGACUACUGUUACUACUACCACUUCUACCAUGAUCAAUGCUAUUUCUUCAAAUUGCCAGAAGAGUUUCGCAUUUCUCCAUCUCUCACUUUUACUUCUGCCGUUCUCAGAUACUAAAACACCAUGGCAGGGCAACCUUAUUUCAAGGAAUAUAGGCUCUCCUGUUAUUUCUGUACUAACAUUAAGAAUAACAUAUAGAUUUAUAUUGAUAGUUUAGAUUAAAUACAUACAGUAAGUUCAUGAGUAGUGAUUGAAAAAGAGGACGAUUUCCUCAAAACUUGCUUGCUUGUCUUGUUUUAUCCAGCAAUUAUCAGCAGUACAGCUAGUCACUGUGCUGUACACAGAAAAAUAAAGGUGCUAACUAGAACCAGAAAUGGUUCUUCAGAGUGAUGCCAGAGAGGAACCAACCAGACAAGACCAAGGUUCUUUUUUGGAUUAAAGGAAACGGUUCUUUAAAGAACCCACAAAGGUGCCUCAAAGAACCAUCAGAAAAUGGUUAUUUGAGGCAACAUAUCUUGUUCUUUAAAGAACUUUAAGGUGUGCUGAGAACCUUUUCCAAAAAGGUUCCUCAGCUAAAAAUGAUUCUUUGAGUACUUAACAUUAUACCAAUAUUGUGUACGGUGGAAAAAUAAAAUACAAUUUUAUACAUAUUCUCAUUGCUUUUUAUUUUCCAGUGACAUCGUUUCUCAUAGUCUCAUAGUUUUAUAAAAGUUCUGAUUCAAAGUGCACAUCAUCAUUUGCUGGGGUGGAGGACAACUUGAAAUCAUCCACACCAUGUCAGUUCUUUUUGAGUAUGGGGCUUUCUGUGCUGCUAGCUGAUACCCCCACGUGUGGAUCUGUAGGCCUCCACCAGCUUGGCUUCAUGAUGACCCCCUUUUCAUCUGUUUCACUGUCAUCGCUGGACAUAAGGCUUGUAGCUAUUUUUUAAAUCAGGCCUUAUAUUUGAGAAUCAACACACAAACAUGACAAAGCGUGUCAGGGGCGCAAUCACAAAUGUUUCCAAUAAAACUGCAUUGGAACUUUUAAAAUAUCUAGGUAGGAAGGUCAUGAAGGAUUCAUGAUAUGAAUGUUGCACUGUU
ensembl:lncRNA